CGGCACCCUGCUGAGUCUGGCUUGUCAGUGGUCGGCUGUGUCACCUCCCUUCCUCCCUCCCUAUGGCAUCCCUUUCCUGAUAGCCUUCCCCUUUACGUCAAUCCUCUAUAGCCUUCCCAUUGAUUUUCUAACCCUUUUAUCACUUCGGUUUCUCCGUUUGUGAUUCAUGGGAGGUUCGGGAAGGUGUGAAUAACUGUUUAUCUUGUUCCGAAACGCUUCAGUCGGUUUCGAAGCUUCAAUUGAAACAAGUACUGCAUCUUUUUCAUUUUCUCUUUUUUUUUCCUUCUUUUUUUUUGUACAUGAGGUUAGUUUCCCCUUCCGUGAUUAUGGGUGAGUCAUGAAUAAAAGAAAAAGAUAUACGUAUGAGGUUAAAAAAAAUGUUAUAGGGAAACUAAUGUAUGUAAACUCUUUAAAAAAAAAACUUUCUUAGCAUACUUGAGCUCAUUAUUUCAAACAUAUUAUAUUAGCUAGUUACUGAAUUUUCAAGCUUUAUAUACAGGCACAAUUUUACCAUAGAAGGAAUCCGUAUAUUCAAGUUAAAAGCAAUAAGUUAAAUUAUUACGAAUAUAAGUGAUUAAUCCGAAGCGAAUCAGUGAAGGAAUAAUCGCCGACUCCUUCCCGAGAGGCGAGUGUAGCGUUGACCAGUGACCGCAUUUUGACCAGUGCUCGUAUUUUUCAUCGUUUACCGCCACAUCUCACGGGUCUCCACCUUCUUCUCCGUGCCAGGGUCGCCGCGCCAAGGUCGAGAAAUGGAGACUGCUCAACAACGGACAAAACAGUAGUAGGUAAGAAAAGAACCUUGCCCUAAUGUUUAUCCUUGCUAUUCUGGUCUUUUGUACUAAUCCCUCUAUAUAUAAUUUUCCCUGUCAACAUUUUUCCAUCAGUAGCAUCAGGUGACCUCCAUGUUUCUUUUGUUUAUAUUAAUUUUCAUGGAUUUUUCACCUCUGACAUAUUUUCU